rnacentral:rRNA from 1 species
CCUACGGGGGGCAGCAGUGGGGAAUAUUGGACAAUGGGCGAAAGCCUGAUCCAGCCAUGCCGCGUGUGUGAAGAAGGCCUUCGGGUUGUAAAGCACUUUCAGUGGGGAAGAAAGCCUUGGGGCUAAUACCCUCGAGGAAGGACAUCACCCACAGAAGAAGCACCGGCUAACUCCGUGCCAGCAGCCGCGGUAAUACGGAGGGUGCGAGCGUUAAUCGGAAUUACUGGGCGUAAAGCGCGCGUAGGCGGUCUGAUAAGCCGGUUGUGAAAGCCCCGGGCUCAACCUGGGAACGGCAUCCGGAACUGUCAGGCUAGAGUGCAGGGGAGGAAGGUAGAAUUCCCGGUGUAGCGGUGAAAUGCGUAGAGAUCGGGAGGAAUACCAGUGGCGAAGGCGGCCUUCUGGACUGACACUGACGCUGAGGUGCGAAAGCGUGGGUAGCAAACAGGAUUAGAUACCCCAGUAGUC